rnacentral:rRNA from 1 species
UGAACGCUGGCGGCAUGCCUUACACAUGCAAGUCGAACGGCAGCGCGGGAGCAAUCCUGGCGGCGAGUGGCGAACGGGUGAGUAAUACAUCGGAACGUGCCCAAUCGUGGGGGAUAACGCAGCGAAAGCUGUGCUAAUACCGCAUACGAUCUACGGAUGAAAGCAGGGGAUCGCAAGACCUUGCGCGAAUGGAGCGGCCGAUGGCAGAUUAGGUAGUUGGUGAGGUAAAGGCUCACCAAGCCUUCGAUCUGUAGCUGGUCUGAGAGGACGACCAGCCACACUGGGACUGAGACACGGCCCAGACUCCUACGGGAGGCAGCAGUGGGGAAUUUUGGACAAUGGGCGAAAGCCUGAUCCAGCCAUGCCGCGUGCAGGAUGAAGGCCUUCGGGUUGUAAACUGCUUUUGUACGGAACGAAACGGUCUUUUCUAAUAAAGAAGGCUAAUGACGGUACCGUAAGAAUAAGCACCGGCUAACUACGUGCCAGCAGCCGCGGUAAU